rnacentral:rRNA from 1 species
UACGGGGGGGGCAAGCGUUGUUCGGAAUUACUGGGCGUAAAGGGCUCGUAGGUGGCCAACUAAGUCGGACGUGAAAUCCCUCGGCUUAACCGGGGAACUGCGUCCGAUACUGGUUGGCUUGAGUUUGGGAGAGGGAUGCGGAAUUCCUGGUGGAGCGGUGAAAUGCGCAGAGAUCAGGAGGAACACCCGUAGCGAAGGCGGCACUCUGGGCCGAUACUGACACUGAGGAGCGAAAGCGUGGGGAGCGAACAGG